rnacentral:snoRNA from 1 species
UCUCGGGAAGUGACCGUGGACUGCCUGUGUCAGUCAUUGAUAGUUGCAGGGGCAGGAAAAUCAGAAAGGCGUUUGGCCCGUGUUUGGAGGGUCAGCCCUCUCUCUUCCAGGCCUGAAGUCUUCAUUCGGAAA